rnacentral:other from 1 species
AACCACCUGGAAUGUUCGACCAUCCUGUAUGUUUUGAACCUACAGAGUGUAAAACGGGAUUCCAAUAUCAGUGAGUGGAUGUCGGGCCUCCUUUGAGUGGAUGGCAGAAGCUCAUUUGCGGUUGCCCACCUAGCGAGGGCUAGGAAUCAAAAAUGCAGGAACCGGCAUUUCGGGGGAAUA